rnacentral:rRNA from 1 species
GAUGAACGCUGGCGGCGUGCCUAAUACAUGCAAGUCGAGCGAACGGACGAGAAGCUUGCUUCUCUGAUGUUAGCGGCGGACGGGUGAGUAACACGUGGAUAACCUACCUAUAAGACUGUGAUAACUUCGGGAAACCGGAGCUAAUACCGGAUAAUAUUUUGAACCGCAUGGUUCAAAAGUGAAAGACGGUCUUGCUGUCACUUAUAGAUGGAUCCGCGCUGCAUUAGCUAGUUGGUAAGGUAACGGCUUACCAAGGCAACGAUGCAUAGCCGACCUGAGAGGGUGAUCGGCCACACUGGAACUGAGACACGGUCCAGACUCCUACGGGAGGCAGCAGUAGGGAAUCUUCCGCAAUGGGCGAAAGCCUGACGGAGCAACGCUGCGUGAGUGAUGAAGGUCUUCGGAUCGUAAAACUCUGUUAUUAGGGAAGAACAUAUGUGUAAGUAACUGUGCACAUCUUGACGGUACCUAAUCAGAAAGCCACGGCUAACUACGUG